GGGGAGACUUGUACUCAUAAUGAGGUUUAGGAGAUGGAGGUGGUGGUGACUUAUACUCAUAAGGUGGUGGAGGAGAAGGAGAUGGUGGUGGUGGUGACUUAUAUUCAUAAGGUGGUGGUGGGGAUGGAGAAGGUGGUGGGGGAGACUUGUACUCAUAAUGAGGUUUAGGAGAUGGAGGUGGUGGUGACUUAUACUCAUAAGGUGGGGGAGGAGAAGGAGAUGGUGGUGGUGGUGACUUAUAUUCAUAAGGUGGUGGUGGGGAUGGAGAUGGAGGUGGAGGAGACUUGUACUCGUAAUGAGGUUUAGGAGAUGGUGGUGGGGGUGACUUGUACUCAUAAGGAGGUGGUGGAGAAGGAGAAGGUGGAGGUGGUGACUUAUAUUCAUAAUGAGGUUUAGGUGAUGGUGGAGGUGGUGAUUUAUACUCAUAAGGAGGUGGUGGAGAAGGAGAAGGUGGAGGUGGAGAAUAGUAAGGAUAAGCAUCUCCUGAUACUGAACUUACACUACUUGAAACAAAAACUACAGCCAACGCUAUGGCCAAGUGAGGCCAAAGACGACCCCACCCGGGGCCGCCGCCGGAACUUCUCAUUUCUU
rnacentral:lncRNA from 1 species